ensembl:lncRNA
GAGCGGGGCCUCCUCCAAUCAGCUGCAGGCCUGAGUAGAACAAAAGACAACCCCCACCCCCAGUGAAAGAGAAUACCUCUCACCUGAAGUCUUCAAACUGGAACAUGAGCUCCUCUUGGUUCUACGUAGCUUCCAGCCUUUGGACCUGACCUAGGACAGUGGGUCUGCAAAUUUUGGGCUUGACAGCCUCCAGUAAUGUGUGGGUGAGACAUUUUCCACGGGCAUCCUCAGCAUCAGAGAGAAGACCCAAAGCAGGUGUGGCCAGGCAAGAAGCUGGCUGUUCACACCUGCGUGAGGCUGGUCCCCAGGACACAGGCUGGAACCAGAGUGGUCCCCAACCUCGUUGGCACCAGGGACCGGUUUCGUGGAAGACAGUCUUUCCUUAAACCAGAAGGCAGCAGAGCAAGCCGAGUAUUAAUAACAUGGUUGGAGACGGCGGCCUCAAUCUUAUCUGAGCUCGAGAGGAGUCUGGCUCGUUAUCCUGUCUGCCGCCCUCAACUUAUCUGAGGAACCACACAGUGCGGAUUCAUCCUUCAGCCCCAGCGACCCUUCCCUCCUUGGAAACCUGAGAGUCUUCGCUUCAAACACGGCCCUCCGGGCCAGGCAUCCGAUGGGCCUGGCUCCCCUCUGAUCUCCCGGAGCCUGGGAGCCGGGGGUCCUGGCAGCUGGAGUAAUUCUAUGCCUGCAAUCUGGCUUCUUUUCUUUUCCUGGACAAGAUUUAUAAGGCAGGGUAUAGUCUUACCGCAGUCAUUCCCAGGAGAGGCCCUGAACCCCUGAGUCUCCACAGCCCCUUUCAGCUCCUUGCAAGUUCACGUUAAGAUGGGCUUUUAGAUAAAGUGAGGUUGAUACUUAGGGCAAACCAAAUUUGCAUGUGAUUGAGAAACUGCCUUCCACAACUCGAAGGAUGGUGUCAUAGCCCUCUGGAGGGAGGGGAGUAGGGAGAGGGGAGCUGUGUCUACCCGCCAGGCUGUGUGGAGGAGCAGGCGUGGGCUUGGAGUCAGGAACAGAGCAGAUGGGCAUCUGAGCUACCUCACCGUGCUGGCUGUGUGACUUGGGGCUAGUUACUUGACCUCUCUGUGCACAGCUUCC